CUAUCAGCUUUGGAUGGUAGGAUAUGGGCCUACCAUGGCAUUAACGGGUAACGGGGAAUUAGGGUUUGAUUCCGGAGAGGGAGCCUUAGAAACGGCUACCACAUCCAAGGAAGGCAGCAGGCGCGUAAAUUACCCAAUCCUGAUACAGGGAGGUAGUGACAAUAAAUAACAAUGCUCUGGCUCUUCGAGUCGGGCAAUUGGAAUGAGAACAAUUUAAAUCCCUUAACGAGGAUCAAUAGGAGGGCAAGUCUGGUGCCAGCAGCCGCGGUAAUUCCAGCUCCAAUAGCGUAUAUUAAAGUUGUUGCAGUUAAAAAGCUCGUAGUUGGAUUUCUGUUUUGAGACGUCGGUCCGAUUCCUUUGGAAUUGUGACUAUGAUGGCUUGAGACUUUUUUGUGAGGAUGUUUUUCUGCUAUUAAGUUAGUGGUUAAAUAGACUUGCAUCUUUUACUGUGAAAAAAUUAGAGUGUUUAAAGCAGGCGUUUGCUCAUUUGAAUACAUUAGCAUGGAAUAAUAAGAUACGACUCUGGUGGUCUAUUUUGUUGGUUUGCACACCAGAAUAAUGAUUAAUAGGGACAGUUGGGGGUAUUCAUAUUUCAACGUCAGAGGUGAAAUUCUUGGAUCGUUGAAAGAUGAGCUUAGGCGA
rnacentral:rRNA from 2 species